UACGUAGGAUGCAAGCGUUGUUCGGAAUUACUGGGCGUAAAGAGUACGUAGGCGGUAUGGUAAGUCUGAUAUUAAAGACCGGAGCUCAACUCCGGGACUGUAUCGGAAACUGCCAAACUAGAGGACAAUAGAGGAAGUCGGAAUUCUCAGUGUAGCGGUGAAAUGCGUAGAUAUUGGGAAGAACACCAGUGGCGGAAAGCGGACUUCUGGGUUGUUACUGACGCUGAGGAGCGAAAGUGUGGGGAGCGAACAGG
rnacentral:rRNA from 1 species